rnacentral:rRNA from 1 species
CAGUCGCCGCGGGAAUACGAAGGGGGCUAGCGUUGUUCGGAUUUACUGGGCGUAAAGCGCACGUAGGCGGAUCGAUCAGUCAGGGGUGAAAUCCCAGAGCUCAACUCUGGAACUGCCUUUGAUACUGUCGAUCUGGAGUAUGGAAGAGGUGAGUGGAAUUCCGAGUGUAGAGGUGAAAUUCGUAGAUAUUCGGAGGCACACCAGUGGCGAAGGCGGCUCACUGGUCCAUUACUGACGCUAAGGUGCGAAAGCGUGGGGAGCAAACAGGAUUAGAUACCCGCGUAGUCCCUGUCUCUUAUAC